rnacentral:lncRNA from 1 species
CAGAAAUGUUUCCAUUUGCUGUGUGUUUCCUCUCCUCAUUAGGUCUUGGCAGUAGUAUAGACAAAUCUAAAUCCUUAGCAUGAUUAUGUUCUCAGCAAUUUAUGUAUUGUCACCCACUUAGGCCUAAUAAUUUUAGUGAAAUAUAAAAAAUUUAAUUAUUCUAGCACUAAAGCAAAAGUGUAGAGUGACCAGAAUUGCAAGCCUUAAACUAAUUAAAUAGUAAAAGUUGAGUAGUGGGUAUCUUUUGUGACUAUGUUGCAUAUACUUCCAGAUAAGGCUUGGAAGCUGUGAACCUUUUAAGAUGGUCCAACAUAGAUCAAUUUUGUUUUGAAUAUCUGGUGAAAUCGGAGGCUCUGUGCUUCUUCCUAGUCACCAGCAUCUCCUGGGAUAAAAGGGUUCUGAAGAAACCCAUGUGGUUAACAUCCUUUCCUAACCUUCCUAAAUGCAGGGAUAACAAAGAGGAAAAAACUCCAAGCUGUUUUCCCAAAAUAUUACCUACGUUUGGAUAUGCUCUAACAAACUACUGUCAAGGAUUGGAAAAGGGCACAGCGGUCAGGCGAGGCACAUGAACAGGGCUCCUUUCAGCCUCACCAUGAAUUCCUGGGAACACUGGUGAGUGGCUUGUGGAGCCAAGGCAGGUGCCAGGCAAAGGGUGUGCUCAGCAAGGAGAACAGAAUUUCAGAUGUACAAAAGAGAACAGUGCGUGGAUGUAAGCUCCAGAGGGACAAAACAAAACUGGAAUUGAACUAAUGGUAAGUCUGUCACUAAUCUGUAGUUAACAGAGGAAUGAAGACAUAUUGCCUUAGUCUUGUCAGAAGUGUGGUGCACACAUUCUUACACUUGGAGCAGAUUGGUUUGCCUGCUUGAUUCAAAAUACCCUGAACCAGUGUGAACCACUGGUUGUACAGAGCCUACCUGUGUCUGCAGAGCUCAUUGCAGAUUUAGAUGAUUUCUCACUUUUGACAGCAACCAUCUCUUCCUCCCCACAAGUGGCCACGAAAAAUGAAGUACCAGGGUCUUUACUGCUGGUAACUUGUACAGCACAAUGAUGUGGUUUACAGAUGCAAAUAUCUUUGUGUUUUGCACUAAAUGGAACCCAGAUGUAGCUGUGGACUUGUUCCAUAGCUUCUUGCUUUUCCAGAGUUCAUGAAGCCAGUGAAAGCCCCGUUCCAUCUACAGGAAAAUGAAACUGGGAAGCUGGCAACACCUUUAAUCAAGGAAAUGUGGGGAUUUAACACUCAGUACAAUUGCUGCUACCUUAGAUAUGUCAUCAGGAGAAUAUAUAUUCUUCCAGAUUAUUAGUGAAGCUCAUGCUUAAUAAGAGUGAGCGUAGUUUUUAACAUUUCAUGGAAAG